rnacentral:tRNA from 1 species
GGAGGUGUAGCUCAGUGGUAGGGUGUGCACUUAGCAUGCACGAGGGUCUAGAUUCAAUCCCCUGUACCUCCA